rnacentral:rRNA from 1 species
GAUGAACGCUGGCGGCGUGCUUAACACAUGCAAGUCGAACGGGAAAUAUUUCAUUGAGACUUCGGUGGAUUUGAUUUAUUUCUAGUGGCGGACGGGUGAGUAACGCGUGGGUAACCUGCCUUAUACAGGGGGAUAACAGUCAGAAAUGGCUGCUAAUACCGCAUAAGCGCACAGAGCUGCAUGGCUCAGUGUGAAAAACUCCGGUGGUAUAAGAUGGACCCGCGUUGGAUUAGCUAGUUGGUGGGGUAACGGCCCACCAAGGCGACGAUCCAUAGCCGGCCUGAGAGGGGGAACGGGCAGAUUGGGACUAAGACACGGCCCAGACUACUACGGGAGGCAGGAGUGGGGAAUAAUGAACAAAGGGGGAAACCCUGAUGAAGCGAAGCCGCGUGAAGGAAGAAGUAUCUCGGUAAGUAAAAUUCUAUCAGCAGGGAAGAGAGUGAAGGUACCUGACUAAGAAGAACAGGAUAACUACGUG